rnacentral:lncRNA from 1 species
CGUACAGUCCAGGGUUCUGAAAUGAAACGCUGGUCGAAGGAAAAAUAAAGAGAACCUUUAAAUUUUCCAAGGAUUUGAAAUCUCACUUAAUACGUUGCUCUAAAAGCGAAAUUAGCCUAUUCUGGACACUCUCGCCCUAAGGCAGGUGUGCAGACGACUCGCACUAAUUCCUACAACGACUACGCAACAUUCCUCAAGCAAUUCCUGAACUUUCUUCUUCAUUAAUCUUUCUCAAACAUCAAACUCCUGUCACGCUUACACUGAUU